rnacentral:rRNA from 1 species
UACGAAGGGGGCUAGCGUUGCUCGGAAUCACUGGGCGUAAAGGGUGCGUAGGUGGUUAGGUAAGUCCGAUGUGAAAUCUCCAGGCUCAACCUGGAAAUGGCAUUGGAUACUAUCUAGCUUGAGGAGUGGAGGGGGGACUGGAAUUCUCGGUGUAGCAGUGAAAUGCGUAGAUAUCGAGAGGAACACCAGUGGCGAAGGCGAGUCCCUGGACACUUCCUGACACUGAGGCACGAAAGCUAGGGGAGCAAACAGG